GUUGGCUUCAUUUUUCAGCCCCAGAGGCUGCUGCUUGGUUUGAACUCUGCCCAGACAGACCUGAAUGUGUUUGGAUUCUCUGCUCACCGUGGAGGCAUGUGAGAAAAGCUGUCUUCGCAAAUUCACGGUAACACACGUGGAAUCGUCGCGCCCUCCUCCACCUCAUUCACCUCCAGUCACCUUUUCCAGAGUCCAGGAUGAGCUCAUCAAAGCCCACUCCUCUUCACAUCCUCAGCUCCGUCUUCAUCUCAUCUUAUCACCACCACCACCACAAGCAUCUAGACUCCAUGGGGUUGGAGGUCCCUAAUCUACUACAUCUUUAUCACCCUCCUGGAACAGAUGACAUCACAACGGGGUCUAAUAAUCGACAACGACUGAUUGAGUUGUGUCUAUCUGAAUCUGUGAAUCUCAUUUUCAGUGACCAAAACCUACUUUAAAUGCUGCUGAAAUGCACCGUGCGUUAUGAGCACUACACAUGAUCCUACAAAACAUGACGACAACUCACCUAAUAAAAGCUCACAAGCACCCACUCCUCUACAAUAUUAUAUUCUGAUUAUGAGUUUAUGAGUAAGACAAGGACAAGGAAAUAGAAGGGGUUAAAGAAGACCUGUAUCUAAAUGAAUUCUUUUAAAAUUUAAUUUCAAAACUGUUUUCUGUGAAAUGAAAUGAGCACUGAAACUACAACAUGAUAAAAUAAUAAUAAUAAUUUCAAUAAUUAGUUUAACCGCCUAGUAUUUCUGGUGCCGACUAGUGAGGGUUUAUUCAACUCGUCAACUAAUCGCUCCCAUCCCUCUUUUUUUUUUACAGCAACAACUGAUCAAAUGACGAUCUGUAACGUGAAAGGGGUCAGUUGUACUGAAGUAUUCUGAUGCCACACCAGAAAUAAAACAAAAACAAAACAAUCAGUAUCAGGUAAUGACAUAAAAAGGUUCUUGUUGUAUCAUGAAUAUAUCUUGUAAAAACGUGCAAAAUCUUGUUAUAACAAGAAACUCUUCACACUACUGCACCCUGCUGUACCUGCCCAGCAAACAGCAGACAGACAGAGUUAGCCUCCUGCUGUUGAACAAAAGGGAAAAAUGUAUCAGCUGAGGAGCUGAAUAUUUCCCUCAGGAUUCAUGCUAAUGUUGCUCCGUGUGUGAUUGAUGUGUAAGUCUUGUGUAUUCUAAUAAGUUCGCCAUAAAAGAUGAUAAGAUGAAAUGUGUUCACAGCUGGUUUCCGCUUCCACUGUGUUGCCAAAGAAAUCUUUUUGCAGAGGCAAAUUUCCUCCACGUCUGAGGUAAGACA